AACACUGUUAACCUGCGGUACCUGCGGAGGGAUCAUUAUUGAAUAAACUUGGUCAAGCUGUUGCUGGUCCUUCGGGACGUGUGCACGCUUGCCACCAAUUUUAACCACCUGUGCACUUUUUGUAGACUUGGAAACGUUUCUCGAGGCAACUCGGAUUGAGAACUGCUGGCGCAAGUCGGCUUUUCUUAUGUUUUCUCAGUCUAUGUUUUCAUAUACACCUAAUGUAUGUAUCAGAAUGUA
rnacentral:misc_RNA from 1 species